rnacentral:misc_RNA from 1 species
AAACAACAUCCAGUUCUUGUGAUCCUCCAACUAGUUGAUCUCUUAUAGUUUUACAGACAUCUGUAAAACCAACCAGUUCUCCGUCGGUAGCAUGGGAGGCACUUGUCAUAUUUUUUUCCUUGGGUUUAGUCAACUCAGUCUUAAUGAGCUCAAUCUCCCUUAUGAUUUCCAAGAGCCACAUCCUAAGAAAAGUAAGAGGUACAUCACUA